UAAAAUGGGUUCGCCCCCAAUGGCAACGUGUUACUACAGUGGUCUAAAUGAUGUAGAGAAAGAUCUAACAAGGAGCUCUGCGCUGAUCCAAUCUGACCAUUGGAGAUGACACACAUCUGUCCGUCAUCUCCAGGUGUGGUCGUCCUCCCUCCUUUAGGUCUGGCGGCGUGCCGUCGCGGAGCAUCACUUUCAAGCUCUGCCUUUGUUCCAUUUCGACGGCGAUAAAUAAAGCGCGCGUCGGAGCGUCGACCCGCGCAUCGGCGGAACAACACAUCGGCUCCGUGACGCGCGUUGACGCGGCAGCCGGACGAGCAGACGCGGGCUGGUGCGCGUGCUGUGUGCGGACCGCGUUACGUAACCGCGAUGGAACGCGCGAGCUGUGCACAAGGACGGGAUGAACGGACACACACCUUCCUCCUGUUAGCAAACGGUUGAAAAAACCCAAAACGGUUGGACCGGGAAACGCAUCGCGAGGCCGAACACAGUGUUCUGGGAUACGCGACGCACUUCCGCCCCGCCGUCCAGCCAAUCAGGAGCCUCCGACUCGCUGUGACGCUGCAGCCAGACAACACGUCACACCGCCGGUGUUCAUGCGGGAUAAGGACCGAGGAGUCCUUCACCUACACGUUCAACUUUAACCCCGGACCAGCAUCGUGACACUCUGGCUUGUAACGAGCUGAUAAGUUACAAAACGUGUGUAUUAAUGGAGUUUUCCUGUAAUGUGUCUGUCCAACAGAAAAUGCAUUGACCUAUUAUUGUAGUGUAAUAUCACUUUAAUCUCUAUGGUGGGAUCAGGCCACACAAAUCUGCAUUUAUGUAGUAUUUCAUCUUUCAGAACUGCAACUAGUGUUGGAGAAAUACUAUAAUAUGUAUAUGUAUACCCAUGGCGUAUUAUUAUACGCAAAGAACCCCAACUAAACUGUAAUGAUUGUAGUGUACGUCUCAUACGUGAUAAUAUUUUUUGUAAUAUUUGUCAGAUAAACUAUUCUUUCAAAGUUCAAAGUUAGUUUUAACAAAAAUAUUUAAUUGAACUCAAUAUUACCAAUUAUGCUCUCUAAAAUAAUCUUCCAGUCCAUUUUUAACAUAAUUAGUAUCAGAAAACUUCUGGGAGGUUAUUAGGAAAUUGCAGACCUGUAAUAUAAAAGAACUUUGUUCGAAAUCCACGGAUUAGAUCUCACAAAAUCUUGAUGAAUCAACAUGUAUGUAAUAUAUUGUUCAUUACUUCAAACAAAAUCUCCCAACAUGUUACUUUUGUGAUUAGUUGGAGAGAUAUUCUCUGCACUUUUCAAAAACGAUUGUGCACUAAAAAAUGUUUUAUGUAUGUGACAACUCCCAAUAAUGUUGAAUUGUCUCCCAAAGCCAGCGUGUUACUGAAUGAAGCAAAAGAAAAGAAAAGUAAUUUACCACUUUUUUCAUCCCUCAGAUGAAGGCAGCCCAAAUAAUACAAAAUAAAAAAAAAAGUCUGUGAAAAUGAGUACAAAAGCCAUUUAAUCUCUCUCAUCUUCCUCUUAAUAACUGCAAAUUUCCCCCUGGGCCCGUGGGAGAGGGCCUCUCUGUGCCGCUGCCACCUUAUCUGUCGCCUCCAUAUUUCGGCGGGCUGAGCGGCUCCCUCAGUACCCAGCCCCCGGCCUCCUCUCGCUGGAGCCUGUGGGGAAGUCUGGCUCCUGGGCCCACCAUUGUUCUGGCCUGGGAGGAAAGUCCAGAGAGAGCCCCGAAAGCUGGAGAAAGGGAAUAUAAAAAAAACUGAAAGAAAACUUGAGCCACUGCUUCAUUAAGCGGCAGCCUUUCACAAGCAAACAUAUCAGAAACAUCCCCCCCCUUUCAGAAGCAGUAAUUAGCAAUUUGGAAACCUUUCCCCCUCAGGAUAUACAGUUUCAAUUUAGUCAGCAGCUUUAGAUUCUUAGGCACUUAAUAUUCAUUGUUUCUACCAUCUUCCCAAUUUCUCGACGCACAUUGUCUCGUCUUUCACUGGAGAUAAAGUGUUUUAUCUUUCAUGUAAUUCUUCUUUUCAAUGAGCCCGCUGCAAGAGAAGUUAAUUUUUAUAAAUACUUUUUCAAAGGGAUUUCCAAAGAAUGUGAGGGAUACGAUAGCAAAGUGCUCUUCAGGAAGUGCCAGGCUGAAUAUCACAUUGAGGUUUCUCUUGAUUGAUUAAGUCUGGCUGCGGAAAAGUUCCACUCAGGAGUUUUUUAGCAGAGGAAACCUCUGCAACUAAUGACAUGCAUCAAAACGUAACGGGUUUUCAAGUUGAAACAACCAUGUCUGAUAAGUGGCAUGCAGAUAUUUCAGGAGAGAUACGACACAUCUUCCGUUUGCGUUGUUUGCAGUGUGACUCCACUGUGUUUGUAUUGGCACCGUAAACCCUUUGCAUGGAUUUAAUGGCAAUGUUUGCAAACUGCUUAUUAAGCCAAAUCACAUAUUGUACCUCAGGAGGGGUGGGGGGGGGCAAGACUGGCACUUAUCUUUGCCACCAUGGAGUCUUUGUUUCAAAAUGCCGCCACUUCCAUUCAUUUCCAAUCCGCAUUGUCUAAUGGAAAUAAUUGAUUUCUGCCUCUUUUCCACAAAUGAAAAACGCUUGUGAUUAAACAUUUUGUCUCCAAAUCUAAAUUCCAAGAUACCCAUCAACACUCGAGGUAACUCAUUAAAGCGAAAAGAAAAAAAAAAAAAGAAAGAAGUUGCUAAGACGAGAAGAAGAGGAGGCAGGGAAUGAAAUAAUGAAUGGAGUCCGAGUGAGCUAUCUCUCCCAGGCAGAGCGCCACUAGGGAUGCAAACUCUCAGCCACCAGAAAUGAGCUACCUAUCUGUGAAAGGAGUGACUGCUCCAUCCUAUUUGAUUUGGCUCCCCUAUCAUCUCUUAAGAAGAUGUCAGCCUUGCUUCUUCUAUUGCCUUUAUCAACCCGGAGACGAUUUCCCUGCAAAAAAAAAAAACGGUUCAGUGCCUUUUCAAAGAGCAACACUAAAGAAUAAGUGUUAUGCGAUAAAAAAAGGGGGGUUGUUAAAUAGAUCUGUCUAUUUGUAUGGUAAUAAUGAUCGCUUAAAGACUCGGGGCGCCGUGACUUGUAAAACAAGGGAAACAAAUCUGUAUUCAGGUAACGUGUUAACGCGACUAUCCGACGACCUUGUGAAAGUUUCACAGUAAAAAAUGAGUUGGAUUCUCAA